rnacentral:rRNA from 1 species
CCUACGUGAGGCAGCAGUGAGGAAUAUUGGUCAAUGGACGAGAGUCUGAACCAGCCAAGUAGCGUGAAGGAUGACUGCCCUAUGGGUUGUAAACUUCUUUUAUAAAGGAAUAAAACGAGGCACGUGUGCCUUUUUGCAUGUACUUUAUGAAUAAGGAUCGGCUAACUCCGUGCCAGCAGCCGCGGUAAUACGGAGGAUCCGAGCGUUAUCCGGAUUAUUGGGUUUAAAGGGAGCGUAGAUGGGUUGUUAAGUCAGUUGUGAAAGUUUGCGGCUCAACCGUAAAAUUGCAAUUGAUACUGGCAGUCUUGAGUACAGUUGAGGUAGGCGGAAUUCGUGGUGUAGCGGUGAAAUGCUUAGAUAUCACGAAGAACCCCGAUUGCGAAGGCAGCUUACUAAACUGUGACUGACAUUGAUGCUCGAAAGUGUGGGUAUCAAACAGGAUUAGAUACCCUUGUAGUC